UACGUAGGGGGCUAGCGUUGUCCGGAAUCAUUGGGCGUAAAGCGCGCGUAGGCGGCCAGAUAAGUCCGGUGUGAAAGUCACAGGCUCAACCUGUGAAUGCCGCUGGAAACUGUCUGGCUCGAGUCCGGGAGGGGCGAGUGGAAUUCCUGGUGUAGCGGUGAAAUGCGCAGAUAUCAGGAGGAACACCGAUGGCGAAGGCAGGUCUCUGGGCCACUACUGACGCUGAGAAGCGAAAGCAUGGGGAGCGAACAGG
rnacentral:rRNA from 1 species